rnacentral:rRNA from 1 species
ACUCCUACGGGAGGCAGCAGUAGGGAAUCUUCCACAAUGGGCGCAAGCCUGAUGGAGCAACACCGCGUGAGUGAAGAAGGGUUUCGGUCUCGUAAAGCUCUGUUGUUAAAGAAGAACACGUAUGAGAGUAACUGUUCAUACGUUGACGGUAUUUAACCAGAAAGUCACGGCUAACUACGUGCCAGCAGCCGCGGUAAUACGUAGGUGGCAAGCGUUAUCCGGAUUUAUUGGGCGUAAAGAGAGUGCAGGCGGUUUUCUUAAGUCUGAUGUGAAAGCCUUCGGCUUAACCGGAGAAGUGCAUCGGAAACUGGAUAACUUGAGUGCAGAAGAGGGUAGUGGAACUCCAUGUGUAGCGGUGGAAUGCGUAGAUAUAUGGAAGAACACCAGUGGCGAAGGCGGCUACCUGGUCUGCAACUGACGCUGAGACUCGAAAGCAUGGGGUAGCGAA